GUGUGUGUGUGUGUGCAUUCGUGUGUUUGUGCAUGUGUGUAUGUGUGCACAUUUAUGUGCGUGCAUGUGUAUGUAUGUGUGUGUGCAUGUGUGUAAUUGUGUAUAUAUGUGCAUAC
rnacentral:miRNA from 1 species